CUGGCUCAGAACGAACGCUGGUGGCGUGUCUUAUACAUGCAAGUCGAGCGAGGCAGCAAUGCCGAGCGGCGAACGGGUGAGUAACGCGUAAGCAAUCUGCCCCAUAUCAGGAAAUACCCGUGCCAACGCGCGGUUAAUGUCCAGGAGAGUGGCCCCCUGCAUGGGGGGUUGACUAGAGAUUUAUCGGUAUGGGAUGAGCUUGCGUCCGAUUAGCUAGUUGGCGGGGCAACGGCCCACCAAGGCGACGAUCGGUAGCCGGCCUGAGAGGGUGAUCGGCCACAUUGGGACUGAGAUACGGCCCAGACUCCUACGGGAGGCAGCAGUAGGGAAUAUUGCACAAUGGGGGAAACCCUGAUGCAGCAACGCCACGUGUGGGAAGAAGCAUUUCGGUGUGUAAACCACUGUCAUGAGGGAAUAAGGCCCUUAUCCGUAAGGGAUUGAAUGUACCUUGAGAGGAAGCACCGGCAAACUUCGUGCCAGCAGCCGC
rnacentral:rRNA from 1 species